rnacentral:RNase_P_RNA from 1 species
UUAGUAAAACAGACGGUCGCACACAAGUGUGAGGAAAGUCCGGGCUUUAUAGGGCAGGAUGCCGGAUAACAUCCGGUGGAGGCGACUCCAAGGAAAGUGCAACAGAAAAUAACCGCCGAAAGGUAAGGGUGAAAAGGUGGUGUAAGAGACUACCGCUCAUAUGGUAACAUAUGGGGAC